rnacentral:lncRNA from 1 species
GGCAAUCCCCUAAUGUUCCCUUCCACCUUGUGGAAGUUUUGUUCUUUCGCUCUUUGCAAUAAAUCCCAUUGUUGCUCGCUCUUUGGGGUCUCACUGUCUGUGCGAGCUGUAAUACUCGCCGCAAAGGUGUCUGGCUUCACUUCCGAGACCAGCGAGACCCCGAACCCACCGGGAGGAAUGAACAACUCCGGAUGGGAGGGACAAACAACACCAGACGCACCGCCUUAAGAGUCCUAACGCUCACCGCGGAGGUCUGCGGCUUCACUCUUGAAUGAAGCCAGCGAGAUCACAAACCCACCAGAAGGAAGGAACUCUGAACACAUCCGAAAAUCAGAAGGAACAAACUCCGGACACACUACCUUUAAGAACUGUAACACUCAAAUCGCGAGGGUCCACGGCUUCGUUCUUGAAGUCAGUGAGACCAAGAACCCACAAAUUCCGGACACUUCCCCACACAGAGGGAACUGGCCUAACACUCUGGUGGUGCCAAUAGGAUGUACUGACAGAUCAGAAGUGGUCGUGAGAGAAGGAGCAAGUAGCCAGAAGAGUGAAGUGUGCACUGGCUGAGAUGUGGGAGCAGGUGUUGUUGGUUUCCCCGGAGUAAGUUACCUUGAGUGAGUUAAGGUUAAGAUAUCCCAGGGGUGAGGUUGAGCAGGCAGUUGUGUAUGUGACCCUGGGGAAAGUCUAGCUGAAGAUACAAAGAUGGGAUGAGAUCACCAAGGAGUAAGUGUCUUUAGCAAAGAGAAGAGACCAAGGACUGAAUCUGGAUACCUCAACAUUUGGAGUCAGAGCCUGAAAAGGAUCCCUCAAAAGUGCCCAAGAAGCAGCAGAAUGAGGAAAGACAGCCCAGGGAGUGUGGCACAGCUGCUCCUCACCACUUCAGGCUCCCCUGGAGUCCAAUGCACUGGGGCCUCAUUCCUGGGUAUUAUAAUUGCCUCCUAAGUGGCCUCUGGCUUAUGUCUCCUACCCCAGUUGAUGUUCAUCACAUCAGCCAGAGUGGCUCUGUUAACACCCAAGCCAGUUCCUGCCCAUCUGCUGAGAAUCUUCAAGGGCUUUCACCUCACUCUGAGUCGAAGCCAAUAUCUUCACAAUGGCCUGGCCCUUUGCCAACUGCUGUGGUUUAAAUGUUUGUACCCUUCAAAACUUAGGUUGAAAUUUGCUUGGCAACAUGGUGGUGGCAGGAGGUGGAACCUUUGGGAUGUGAUAGGGCCAAGGGCUCUGCCCUCAGGGGUAGGAUUAAUGCUGUUACAAAAGAGCAAGUUUGACUUUCUUUUGCCUCUUUGCCCUUCUACCUUCCUUCCUGGGAGGAUGCAGCAAGAAGGCCCUCGCCAGAUAUCAAGGCCUUAAGCUUGGACUUCCCAGCCUCCAGAACUGGGGGAAGAGCCAAGAUGUCUGAAUAGAAACAGCUCCGGUCUACAGCUCCCAGCGUGAGCAAUGCAGAAGACAGGUGAUUUCUGCAUUUCCAUCUGAGGUACCGGGUUCAUCUCACUAGGGAGUGCCAGACAGUGGGCGCAGGUCAGGGGGUGCUCGCACCGUGUGCCAGCCGAAGCAGGGCGAGGCAUUGCCUCACUCGGGAAGCGCAAGGGAUCAGGGAGUUCCCUUUCCUAGUCAAAGAAAGGGGUGACAGACGGCACCUGGAAAAUCGGGUCACUCCCACCCGAAUACUGCGCUUUUCCGAUGGGCUUAAAAAACGGCACACCAGGAGAUUAUAUCCCGCACCUGGAUCGGAGGGUCCUACGCCCACGGAGUCUCGCUGAUUGCUAGCACAGCAGUCUGAGAUCAAACAGCAAAGCGGCAGUGAGGCUGGGAGAGGGGCGCCCGCCAUUGCCCAGGCUUGCUUAGGUAAACAAAGCAGCCGGGAAGCUCGAACUGGGUGGAGCCCACCACAGCUCAAGGAGGCCUGCCUGCCUCUGUAGGCUCCACCUCUGGGGGCAGGGCACAGACAAACAAAAAGACAGCAGUAAUCUCUGCAGACUUAAAUGUCCCUGUCUGACAGCUUUGAAGAGAGCAGUGGUUCUCCCAGCACGCAGCUGGAGAUCUGAGAACGGGCAGACUGCCUCCUCAAGUGGGUCCCUGACCCCUGAACCCCGAGCAGCCUAACUGGGAGGCACCCCCCAAGCAGGGGCAGACUGACAUCUCACAUGGCCGGGUACUCCAACAGACCUGCAGCUGAGGGUCCUGUCUGUUAGAAGGAAAACUAACAAACAGAAAGGACAUCCACACCAAAAACCCAUCUGUACAUCACCAUCAUCAAAGACCAAAAGUAGAUAAAACCACAAAGAUUGGGAAAAAACAGAGCAGAAAAACUGGAAACUCUAAAAGGCAGAGCACCUCUCCUCCUCCAAAGGAACGCAGUUCCUCACCAGCAACAGAACAAAGCUGGACGGAGAAUGACUUUGACGAGCUGAGAGAAGAAGGCUUCAGAUGAUCAAAUUACUCUGACCUACGGGAGGACAUUCAAACCAAGGGCAAAGAAGUUGAAAACUUUGAAAAAAAUUUAGAAGAAUGUAUAACUAGAAUAACCAAUACAGAGAAGUGCUUAAAGGAGCUGAUGGAGCUGAAAACCAAGGCUUGAGAACUACAUAAAGAAUGCAGAAGCCUCAGGAGCUGAUGCGAUCAACUGGAAGAAAGGGUAUCAGCGAUGGAAGAUGAAAUGAAUGAAAUGAAGCGAGAAGGGAAGUUUAGAGAAAAAAAUAAAAAGAAACGAGCAAAGCCUCCCAAGAAAUAUGGGACGAUGUGAAAAGACCAAAUCUAUGUCUGACUGGUGUACCUGAAAGUGACGGGGAGAAUGGAACCAAGUUGGAAAACACUCUGCAGGAUAUUAUCCAGGGGAACUUCCCCAAUCCAGCAAGGCAGGCCAACAUUCAGAUUCAGGAAAUACAGAGAACGCCACAAAGAUACUCCUUGAGAAGAGCAACUCCAAGACACAUAAUUGUCAGAUUCACCGAAGUUGAAAUGAAGGAAAAAAUGUUAAGGGCAGCCAGAGAGAAAGGUCAUGUUACCCUCAAAGGGAAGCCCAUCAGACUAACAGCGGAUAUCUCGGCAGAAACUCUACAAACCAGAAGAGAGUGGGGGCCAAUAUUCAACAUUCUUAAAGAAAAGAAUUUUCCACCCCGAAUUUCAUAUCCAGCCAAACUAAGCUUCAUAAGUGAAGGAGAAAUAAACUACUUUACAGACAAGCAAAUGCUGAGAGAUUUUGUCACCACCAGGCCUGCCCUAAAAGAGCUCCUGAAGGAAGUGCUAAACAUGGAAAGGAACAACUGGUACCAGCCACUGCAAAAUCAUGCCAAAAUGUAAAGACCAUUGAGACUAGGAAGAAACUGCAUCAACUAACGAGCAAAAUAACCAGCUAACAUCAUCAUGACAGGAUCAAAUUCACACAUAACAAUAUUAACUUUAAAUGUAAAUGGACUAAAUGCUCCAAUUAAAAGAC